rnacentral:lncRNA from 1 species
AUUUGUCCAAGCAUUAACGAACAAAGUUAUCCGAUACUUGUGCUGGUAAGAGUUAGCAUGCAUCCCUGAAAUUAGUCGAGGUGCGCCUAACUCGGAAAAAAUAAGCCUUGCAUCGGGGCUUAACUAGUAGUCAGUGAAGUAUGUUGAGAACCAUGAGGUCUCAUGUUCAAAUUCCAGCAAAGGCAAAACACUAGUUAAUUUCUUUCCAUCCGUCCAAAACUUGACAGAUAGAGUUAUCUGAUACUUGCGCUGGUGGGAUUUAACAUGCGUCCUUGAAAUUAGUCGAGGUGCGCCUAAACUGACGCGGAAAAAAUAACUUGCAUCCAAGGUCUCAGGUUCAAAUCCUAGAAAAACACUAUGUGACUUUUUCCCAUCUGCCUAGGUGGACAAAGUUAUCCGAUACUUUUGCAGGUAGUAGCUAGUAGGUGUCCCCGGAAUUUGAUAUGAUAUAGCUUGCGUGUGUAGUGCCUAAGGUUAGGCGAGUGGUACUCGCGGUUAAGUUAGUUAAAAUAGAGGGCUGAAGCCAAGUUUUAAAUAAGCUAGUUUAGUCCAGCUAAGUUUUUUUUGAAUUGAAUCCAGCUAAGUUUUAAAUUAGAAGUUAUAGGAUUGACAUUUUAGUCCAGUACUUCUCAUGUAAUUAGCACAUUUAGUCCUAUAGCUAAAUAGGAAAAGGGGUUUUGAGUGUCAGAUGAUGUACUCUCAUUUCCUCCCCUAUAUAUAUUUGUGAUUACCCUCUUAGUGAGAUAUACAGAGAAUAUUCCUUAUUUUUGCCCUAGUUUUCUUCUGCUUUACUUUAUUUUUCCUUUCCUUUCCUGCUUUUGUUUUCUAUCUUCUGCAGCUUUCUUCUUCCUUUUUACUGUUUCAUUGAGCUCAUUGGUAUCAGUGGUAUCAGAGCACUUUCUUGGAUCUGUGACUAUGGUGGGUGAGUUGAGCGAAAUCAUGAAUACCUUACAUAAAAUCUCAGCUGAGAUGUCUAGUUUCUCAGCUCGACAAGAGCAACUGGAAGCUGCAAGAACAUAGCAGCAAACAUCAGGAAGAAUCUUUGAAUGAGUUAAGGGAGGUCACCAAUGAAGCUAUUCUUGGGGGUAAGAGACCUGAGAGAGACAAGGGAAUACAACCUGCAGAUGGUGAGUUAUAUUCCCCUAGUG